AGCACAAUGGCUAAGAUGGCUAAAGCAGCUGUCUAGUAAACAGGAGAUCCUGGGUUCAAUUCCAAGUGGUGCCU
rfam:Anolis carolinensis chromosome 3, whole genome shotgun sequence.